rnacentral:rRNA from 1 species
GACGAACGCUGGCGGCGUGCUUAACACAUGCAAGUCGAACGGAAAGGCCCUGCUUUUGUGGGGUGCUCGAGUGGCGAACGGGUGAGUAACACGUGAGUAACCUGCCCUUGACUUUGGGAUAACUUCAGGAAACUGGGGCUAAUACCGGAUAGGAGCUCCUGCUGCAUGGUGGGGGUUGGAUAGUUUCGGCGGUUGGGGAUGGACUCGCGGGCUAUCAGCUUGUUGGUGGGGUAGUGGCUUACCAAGGCUUUGACGGGUAGCCGGCCUGGGAGGGGGACCGGCCACACUGGGCUUGAGAUACGGCCCAGACUCCUAUGGGAGGCAGCAGUGGAGAGUAUUGCACAAGGGGCGGGAGGCUGAUGCAGCACCGCCGCGUGCGGGAUGACGGCCUUCGGGUUGUGAACCGCUUCCGCCUGUGACGAAGCGUGAGUGACGGUAAUGGGUAAAGAAGCACCGGCUAACUACGUG